rnacentral:rRNA from 1 species
UACAGAGGUCUCAAGCGUUGUUCGGAUUCAUUGGGCGUGAAGGGUGCGUAGGCGGCGCGGUAAGUCGGGUGUGAAAUUUCGAGGCUUAACUUCGAAACUGCAUUCGAUACUGCCGUGCUUGAGGACUGGAGAGGAGACUGGAAUUUACGGUGUAGCGGUGAAAUGCGUAGAUAUCGUAAGGAAGACCAGUGGCGAAGGCGGGUCUCUGGACAGUUCCUGACGCUGAGGCACGAAGGCCAGGGGAGCAAACGGG